UAUAAGUGCAGCCAUGGUUUUCCGCGCCCAACUUUGACCGUCCGUCUUAUUUAAAAAAUUUUAAAAAAAAUUUAAAAACAUAAGUCACGAGUAAAGUACUAUUUAUAUUUUAUCAUCUCAUAACAAUAAAAAUAUUAAUUAUAAAAAACUUUCAAAUAAGACGAACGAUCAAAGUUAGACGCGGAAACUUAUGGUUGCACUUAUA
rnacentral:pre_miRNA from 1 species